AAACGCGUUUAACACCCAUAGGCAAACAGAUUAAAGGUCAUUCUGAAUUGAUAAUAUUAUUGCGUAACCACAUCCCUAUAUAAAUGAUUCCAGAUGCCACUUCAGAUAUUUUUUGAAACCACAAGUAUCCAGAUAAACCAAGAUGGUAAGUGCAGUAUGCCCUAUUUUGCAAAGGAAACAACAUUUUCUCUGACAUCUUUUAAUUUAUUAAAAUAGGUGCUUCUUUCUUUAGUGUAUACUUCGAAUUAGCAUAGUUUGACUCAGUUUAACUCAGUAAAUGCUGUGUAAAAUUGUGCUAGCAGUAUUGAGAAAUAAAGGAAAUAUGAGAGGAAGGAAUACAUUUUUAGGAGAGCAAAACUGCAUUGGAAUUUUUGUUAAAAUGUAGGGUACAUUCUCAGCAUUUUUGUAAUGUAAGUGUUAUAGAGAAUUGAUCUUUACACAUAUAAUUCCUAGUGUUAAGACAAGGUAAAAGACAAAUGAGUAUGAGUAAAUGAGUAUUUUUAGGACAAUUGUUAUCAUUUAAGAACUGCUGAUAAAGGGUUAAAUAUUAUUGUAGUUGUAUAUUUUAAUUAUACAAUUAUAAGUUCUGCACACUUAUUAAUUUACCUGCACAUUUAUUAUUAUUGUUUUCAAUAUGCUGUUGGCUUAGAAGUAAAGAGCUACAGAUGUGGCCAUGGGCAUCUGCAGGGGGAAUCCUCCCCCUGGAUAUUUCAACUUGCCCUUUAAAAAUUGUUCUGAGCAGUCGGCACUUCAGACAGAGUCCAAGGGUCCAGCCGAGGAAGGGUGCUCGCCGCCCUGCCACUCUAUGUGGCAAACCUACAUUUCUGCCAUCUGCCUAAGUCCUACGUGAGGUGCGAAGACCGCGCAGUCCUCGGCGCUGCUUUUCCAGGAGGGAGAUGGGAUCUGGAGGAGCAGAGAAGAAUUUUGGCUCAGUGCGCAGAGGCUUGCAACAUUAUGUCAUGUACUGACGUUGAUGUCCUUCAUCAGCACGGGCCUGGAUUUACUUUAAGGCAAACGGGAAUGAUCCACUCAGUUUGCCCAAAAGUUAAUUGAAUUAAGAACCCUGAAAAUAUGCAUCGUCACCGCCUAUUAUUUGACCAUGAAUGUUGGAACGACCACAGCAGCAAGUCUACCAGCCCAACACGCCAGCCUGCCUGCCAGCCACAGCUGCCAACAAACAACAGUAAUUAAGACAAAAGGAGCAAACUUGGCUGGGUAUCAGAGAGUUUGUUGUAUUGUAAAUGGAGACAGUGUUAGAAGAGACCCCUCUUCAGGACCCCUUGGACUUUAUUGUAGUCUCUAAUGGGGCCUGGAGGGCACUGUUUCUAACAGACUCUCUAAUGGACACUUAGAAGGCUUCUGUUAGAGAGAGCCCUCUCCAGGGACUCAUUAGACUCAAUUUCUGUGGGAAGUGUUAUGGGUGCAUUCUUGUGCUGCGGGUGCAAUCUGGUGCUAUAACUGGUGCUGUGAGUGAUGCUUUGUACUGCUGUGUGUGCUUCCUAGUGCUGUGGCAAUAGCUUUGUGUGUAAUCUGGUGCCGUGAAAAGACAUAUGUAUAUUUUUUCUUUCAUUCUUUAUUUUUGUUGUGCAUGAGAUUACAGGUAAAAAGUGAACUCACUGUGCCACAACAGCUAAAGCAAGCAUGUUUAAAUCAAGAAAUGACAUGGCAUGUGAAAAGGAUCAGCACAAUUUUAUGUUAAAGGGAUUCUCCUGUGACAGGAAAACUAACCAGUUUUCCUGGCACUGUAGAAUCCUGGAGUACCCCCCUCCCAAAAAAAACCCUUCAGACACUUACCUGAGUCCAGCGCGAUGUCCCUUGGUGCUGGGUCAGGCACCACCCAUGCUCCUCCCCUGCUGACGUCGCCGGUGGGGGAGACCUAAUACGCAUUAGACCUCCCUCAUUCAUUGCUUUGCUUUGGAAAUUACAGCGACGCUGGAGCUCCUCAUGCAGGGUGUGAGGACGUCCAGCCUCGUUUAGAUGUCAUCUAAGAAGCUGGAAGUCCCUCUAAUGGCUGUCUGUUAGACAGCCACUAGGGAGGGCUUAACCCUGAGAGAUAAUUAUUGCAGUUUAUAAAAACUGCAAUAAUUACACUUGCAGGGUUAAGGGUGAUGGGAGUUAGCACUUAGACCACUUCAAUGGGCUGAAGUGGUCUGGGUGCCUACAGUGUCCCUUUAAGUGAAUCAGGCUAGAUAUGCACAAGUAGAUUGUAAGAUUCUUGUACAAGCUUAGUUUAACUGAGAAAUCAAUACUAGAAAUAUCAAGUCAGUACAACCAUGCAUGCGUAGACAAUUGUGUUAAAGACAUCAGUGGUGUGUAGGCUGUUAUGGAGAAGAAAAUAAAAUCCAACUAGACUAAUUACGGUUGGUCCUCAGUUUCACCUUGGGGGACAUAUUCAAGAGAACAGGAGACAGGCAUGAGUCCUACAAUAUACAUAAUAAACAAAAGAGAAAACAAAUUCACUCCCCCACAACUUGCAGUGGUAACGGAGGUCCUAAGGAGAGUUCUGAGCCAGGGAGAGUUUCUUCUACGGCUCGUCGCCAAGUUCAGCCAAUGCCCCGCGGGGACAAAAUAGAGCCCAGUCGUGAGAGUCCCAUUUUCAGCCCAUCGGGUCACUGGUUUGGAGGCAUGCCGUAUAUUGACCGGAGAAGGAUCUGCCCAAUGGGGCCUGCUGGAUUUUCAGGAAUCCCAUGUAGAAGUCAUAAAUUUUAAUUUUUUGUGCACCUUUACAGGAAAUGCAGAUUCUUUGCAAAUUCAACUUUUUUUGUCAUCUCAUCACUUGGAGUGAUAAUCUUGGAGGAAGACACUGGAAUCGUGUAGAGCAGGGGCAGGCAAAUUUGGCACUCUAGAUGUUCUGGACUACAUCUCCUCUAAUACUUGGCCAUCAUUAUGGCUAUAAAAGCAUUAUGAGAGAUUGGUGCCUACUCCUGGUCUACAGAGUAUACAUUGUAAAAUCUAUAUUUGCUGACAAUUUCCCUUGUACAAUGUACAAAUUGAACAUUUACAUGCACGAUGAUUACAUUGUCAUCCACUGAUUUUGUGGGUGACAAGUCUAUUUUGAGGAUAACUACUGUACUGAUAAACCACCUAUGUUUAUUUAUUUAUACUUUGCAGAAGUUUAUUUUGGCUACAAUAUUUGCCUUUGGCAGUUUGAUGACAAUAUGCAAUGCUGCCUGCUACAGACAAAGGAAUAAACCAUCCCCUGAUGGAGAGGAACCCAAGGGUGAGUAAUGUUUAUUUUUUCAUGUGAUAUUGUUCUUGAAAAUAUUCCCCCUAUUAUAGAACAUUUCGAGCACCAUAACCACCACAGCCCACUGUAGUUGUUAUGGUGCUGUGUUAAGUGAAGGUAGCGAGGCCUUUACCAUUUAACCCCAGGGGAAGUACGUGUUGUAUGUGUGGUGUGCAACACAAAGCUACGUUUAGUUAUGGGCCCCUGGGGCGGAGCAUUUGGAGAGCAGGGUGGGCCAAUGCUCCACUCCUCAGUUUAUACACAACUGGGAGAAAUCAGGUCCAGGCAAGAGUUUUUUUGAACUGUCUCCAACCCACUGCUCAGCUGCAGAUAAUCAGCUAUAGCAGUGAGAAUAAACCCCUCCCUGCUAGGCAGGUAAAGGGGGAUUGCUGGCUUCCUCCCUGGAAGCAGGUAGGAGAGAGGCUGUUCUCUCCAGUGAGAGAAUCAAGGAGACUGAGCACUGGGAGUGCAAAAGGAAAGCAGUCAAGGCUGGCUUGGAGCACUGGAAGUGCAGAAAGGAAAGCAGUUAAGGCUGGCUUGGAGCACUGGGAGUGUAGAAAGGAAAGCAACAGGCUGACUAAGCACUAGAGUGCAGAGAGCUGACAAAGACACUAGGUUGGUGAAACCAAUAUUGUUUUGUUCUAGGUUAACCCAUGAGAGUCAGGGAACCUGAUGUUAGUAAGUGCUCAGACGAGCUAGGUUUUUGUUUAAAGGGAUUUGUGUUAUAUUUUAUGUUUUCAUUUGCUGCUGUCUCCUGUGUUGACUUACAAAUAAAGGGCCUGGAUUAUAUGAAAAUAAAAGGACUGUGCCUGUUUUUACCCUAGAGGACCAUGCUACCUGCAGACAAGGAUCACAGUGCCAAGAGUGUCCUGGUGCUCCACCAAUUUAAGUAGUCAAAUUAUUUGCUAACAGUUUUACAACUUACCUGGGGUCCACCGUGUGCUGGUAAAUUAGCUCUCCUGAGAUAAACCCUGCUGUGCCGGGCAAGCUCAUUGGUUGAUAUCAUCAGAUGAUUGCUGAGCUAAGCUCUCCACUGCACCUGGUUUGAUUACUUAAAUUAGAUGGGAACCAGGGUGUUCUGGCACCACAACCUUCAGAGUAACACCAUCAACUGCAGAAUAUUUCCAAACCCCUGGCACAAAAUAAUUAAACUUUAAUUGCAUAGGACUAAACAAUAGGUGAAAUAAAACACCCUUUUAUAAGCCCUCUUUUGAUAAUUCUAUUCAAAUUUAAAUAACUUUCCAAUUUCUGUGAUCAUUAGAUCUCUUUUAGGAUCAAACAAUAAACGAUGACUGUUGUUAGGAGAGAGUAUGAAUGUAAGGAAUAAGGUAUUACACUUAUUGCUAGGUAGACGUAAAAGAUUUUGGCCAGCUGUUAAUACUAUAGCAAGAAAUACAUAUGCAUCUGUAAUUCACUGUUUUAUUUGAGAUAACAUGUUUUUGUCUUGCUCAAUUUCUCUCCAUUGUUUUUGCAUUUAUCCUCUUGCUUUCAUUUCUCACCUAUGGCUCCCCAUGGGUGGGUGUGUGUGUGUGUGUGUGUGCGCACACACACUUUUUUCACUCUUUUUUUUUCUCUUUCUCUCUUUUUUUUUUCUCUCUCUUUUUUUAAAUUUUUUUUUAUGGUACUAUUAAAAUGAAUUGUGUUUUGAAGGUUGUUUGGAUGAAAAUGGUGUGCUCCAUGAAUUUAAUACUCGGUGGAGGACAAAAGAUUGCUUUGACUGCAGUUGUGCAACUGCUUUGAUGUCCUGCUGCUUAGCGUAAGUUGCAAUAAUUUCUUUUGAUUCAAUUAAGCAGACCAAAUUGUUUACACAGGACUUAGAAUGUGGGAUAUCCAUUGAGGGAGUACAUGAUUUCAGAUUUGCUCCUUCAUGCUCUUGCAAAUAUCAUACAUUAUGGCUAAAUGGGAAAAGCAGAACUGUGAGGCCAGAAUUAAAGGGGUGUAUAUAAAAACAUAAUUUGGGUUGGGAUGCGGGAUUGUGAUGCAAGUGUCAUGUUCCUCCUGUGUGGUCACGAUUAUAAGAGUCAGUACUGUGUUAUCACCUUUUGUCAGUAUCUGUCACCAAAUAUUACUGAGACUCUGGAACAUGGCUUUCAGUUAACAUUUUAUUCAGUCUAAGCACAUAUCCAAUACACUAGCUGAUUCCUCCGUAACAACUCAAAAUUGUUUCCAACUGUCACACACCGAGACCUAGACAUUCCAGGAGGGGUGUCCUGCUCAUCUUAAAGCUGCAGUCAAGAUGCAUAUAAAAUAAAAACUCUGAAAGAUUUUGGAUAACAGUGUAAGAUUCAACAGAAAUAUAUAUAAAACAGUAACUCAAACGUAAACUAGAACAGUUCAUCUGUAUAGUUAACGUUCAUGUAAUCCAGGGUGUGAUCCAAAUUUACAUGGACAUAUUGAGGGUGGUCUUCUUUGCUUAGAUGGUCGUAGAGUAUUUGGUUCAGAGGUGGUUGCAGGAAUCUGGUGUCUGGAGGAAUAACCAAUGGUUGUGAGUCAACAAUGGUUGUGCAUUUUGUUGCUGAAUGAUAUCAUUCUGAUGCUGUUCUGUAUCCUAUUUGGACAUAGUAUUUUCAUCCUUAUGUCACUCUGGUGGACACCAUACUCUGGUAUAUGAAUCCUGGGAUUGUAUUUUAAUUGGUAGAAAUGUAUAUCAUAUCUAUUGAACAUUCUGUUACCAAUGCCUUGUAUUAUGAUCGUUAGAAUCCAUUUAUCCUGCCCAUGGUAGUUUCUAAUCAAUAAUAUAUAUGAAUGUAUAACUCUGGAACACUAGAAGUGUUCAAACUCUCUUUAGGAUGUUCUGGCCAAACUUGAUUAAGAGGAGUUCUCUAGCUUCUUACAAACAUUAACACAAUUGUAGGACAUGGUGUGUUCCAACAGUUAAAUUUAAAAAAAAUGGAAAGUGUCUCUGGAAUAAAUUUUGCUUUGUGAGUGACAACUAAAUUACAUUUCAGAGUUUGUACAAAUUGUCCAAACUGUUGAUUAAAGGCAAGUGUAUUCCAAAAUUAAAUGAAAUUUCAAAGUAAAAUGCAAAUAUCUUGAUAUUUCUACCCUUAAAUGAGCUAGAUACCUAACUGAUUGAAUAUAUUAAUAAAAUCAAAAUCAAAAGAUGAGGUUCUGUUCAAAAGUUUUCAGAAACCUCCAUCAAAAGAUGUAUGCAAAAACAAGUUUUGCAAGUUCACGAGUGCUCCAGAAUCAUGGGGCUGUAGCUUAGUAUAAUGAACCCGUUAAAUACAAUGUAUCUUAACUGUCAUCUGCCUAAGAUAAAGAGAGAAUAUUGUUUUCUCUUGAUUCAUGUGCACGUCUAAUAAAGGUUAGCUAUAUAGACCUAAAGUCACUCAGCAUAUAUCUAUAUUACUGCUUCAUUAAGCCAUCAGAUACAAUUAUUCUUUCUCAUAACACUGUAGCUAAAUAAGCCCUAAUCAGAUUCAUGAGUAGUCUCGGGACAACGGUCUCCCCUGACGAGCGCGUUUCGCCUCAGCUCAUCAUCUCAGGGGAGACCAUUGUCCCGAGGCUACUCAUGAAAGACCAUUUACAUUGAGGUCUCGAGACUUCGGGAGCACUUUAUCACCCUAGCUUUUCGCAAACAAUAUUAGGAAUUACUGGCAGCGCUAGUCUGCAAUUUUGUAUCUAUGUGACAAGUCUGAUUAGGGCUUAUUUAGCUACAGUGUUACAUGCUUUAUUUGCUCUUACUCGUGUCAGUGUAUCCAACACUCACGAGAAAGAAUAAUUGUAUCUGAUGGCUUAAUGAAGCAGUAAUAUAGAUAUAUGCUGAGUGACUUUAGGUCUAUAUAGCUAACCUUUAUUAGACGUGCACAUGAAUCAAGAGAAAACAAUAUUCUCUGUUUAUCUUAGGCAGAUGACAGUUAAGAUACAUUGUAUUUAACAGGUUCAUUAUACUAAGCUACAGCCCCAUGAUUCUGGAGCACUCGUGAACUUGCAAAACUUGUUUUGAUGCAGGUUUCUGAAAACUUUUGAACAGAACCUCAUCUUUUGAUUUUGAUUUUAUUAAUAUAUUCAAUCAGUUAGGUAUCUAGCUCAUUUAAGGGUAGAAAUAUCAAGAUAUUUGCAUUUUACUUUGAAAUUUCAUUUAAUUUUGGAAUACACUUGCAGUACUUUUUUAUCUGAUGACAUUUAAUAAAAGUUAUAUUUUAAGGGUACUCGUUUCUUUUUUUCUUCCACUAAUUUUAGUAUCUAGGGUUACCCCCUUCCUCGAGUUUCCCUUUUUCAGCUUCCUUCCUUUUUGGUAUUCAUUGUUGAUUAAAGGCUCAUACAUAUGAAGAGUCUUACAGUGUAGGAUAUUAUUUGAAUCACGAAAAGUUCCUGUGAUGCAAAUUGUGCACCAUUGCUUUAGGUAGUCCAAUCUUGCAUACGAACUGGAAAGUAUGACGCUGGUUUGUUCUGUUGCAGUACUUGAUAUUCAAACCCCUUUUGGUUACACAGAGAGCAUCCACAGCUUCAAAAUACAUUCAUCCAUCCACUGAUCCUGCAAAAUCAGGAUUCUUGUCCAAGAAUCAGUUGGUAAUGGCCAAGCCUUGCAGGAAUCCCUGGUCAGAUUCCGUGAAUCUGUGCACAUGCAUUGCAAGCAGCUACACGAGAAGAUAUAUCUGUAUUCAAUGCAGGCCACCCAAUAUAUUCCCAUGAUCUUUGCUUCAUUUUUACUAUAGCCUGAUGUGAGCUGUGUAGUAACUUUAGAGCUUACGUUUGCAGCCAAGUAGGAUUUAUUACUUGUGAACCACAGAAAAGACAGCCUCAGUCUUUACAAUUUGAGUUGUCUUGGAAAAACAGGGUGGAAUAUCAGUGUAACGGAUCACCUGGCACCCCAACUGGGUACCUCCAUUGAUGGAUGCUCCUAGUGCUUCACAAGGGCUCCAAGCACUCCACUUGACAUCAUAAACACUGAAGACCCCACGAACCGCUGCAGCUUGGUUGGGGUCUCGCUGUCUCCUACCCACCCUGGACCUACGACAAGGCUCCAGGAUCCAGUGGGUAAACUUCUCUUUUCCCAGAGAGUGAAGCAGGAACAAGCUCUUACAAGAGCUUAGUGAAUAUUCAAGCGAGUAUGAAGAGCAUAGCAAUCCCUUGUAGCAGAUUCCACCCAAUAAGAGAAAGGACUUUAGAUUGAGGGUUAAGUAGAACAGAAGGUUUAUUGCCGCAGCCUGGAAUAUAUACAGUUUUUCAGGCCAGAGGCACACCCCCUGGACCUGAUGGAAAACAGGGACAAAAGGAACAUAAACCAAGAAAAACAUAGUUUUACAAAUAAUCCCACUCCUCCGUCUGUGAUAUAAUUAACGUAGACAAUGGACUAACUGUAAGUUGAAAAAAACAUACAUUUUUACAAACCCCAAAAAGUACUCCAAAAUACAACAUAUCCCCACAAAAGUGAUCACCGAUCUGGAUGAACAACAUAUACAAAAAUCACCCAGAUCGGUUCAGGGGUUCAGGAAUUUCCUGGAAGUCUUAUUUUUGCCCCACCGUGCACAUGGUCCCAUGCCCAAAACAGUUCCAUAAACUCGACAACAAAACACUGCUGGACAAUUUAAGAUUGCCACAGCCACAUGUUUGAAUCUGUUCCAGUUAAAAGUCCAAGGGGCAGAAACAGUACUUUUGAACAUGGGUUAUCACAGGGCCCAUAGUCCCAGGCCUCUCCAAAAACCAGUGGCAAGGUCACUUUCGCCACAAUCAGCGUGAACUACUUUAGGUCACCCACUUUGAAAAAAAGACUUAAUCUCCUGAAACCUAGAAUACAAGCAUGUAUAAGUAGCAAUCACCUUGGAAUUUAGAUUCAACUGCUGAAGAGGAGUCAAAUCGCUGUUGUGUUAGCGAUACCCUUCUGAGGGUAUAAAAUGGACAAUAGUGGUUUAUGAUCCACGAUUAUAGUAAAAUGUCUGCCAUAAAUAUAAAUGUGAAAUAUCUUCACAACCCAAAUUAUUGCAAGAGCUUCCUGAUCAAUCGCGUCAUAAUUUUUCUAAGCCAGAGAUUUGGAUGCAAGGGACACAGGACAUUCAGAACCAUCAAGCAUAAUGUGUGGAAGCACUGCAAUCAAACCAUAUGGGGAAGCAUCAUAGGUUAGUACCAAAGGUUUCUUAAAGUCAUAGUGGGCAAGGAGCCUUGAUUCCACAAAAAGUUGUUUGGAGAACUCAAAUGCCUUUGCACAUGAUAUUUUACUAUCUAAAAGACCGUGCAGUGCAUGUAUAAAGUGAGACAAAUUCGGUAAGAAUCAGUGAUAAUAAUUGAGAUGUAGCUGAGAUACAUUGACAGGUGUGGAAGCAUUAACUAGCCCUUUCACCUUUUCCUUAGCUGUGUGGACACCAUUAUUUUCCACAGCAUGCGCACAAUACUUCAAACUGUCAUGUAAGAACUCAAAUUUCUGUAUGUUUACUUUAAAUCUGAAUUCCUGUGGGAAUUGUAUAACAUGUUCGAUAUUCGCUUUAUGAGCUACAUCAUUUUCACCAGUAAUAGGGAUGUCAUCUAACAUGUAAUGGGUGUGUUGACAUACAGAAGGUGCUGGGGCAAUUCCAAACACCAUCCACAUAUACGGAAAAAGUCCUUUUGUAAGUGUUGACAAAGUUAACAAGUACCUUGAGUCUGGAUGUACCUCCAACUUUAAGUGUGUUUGAUGUUAGUCAGUUUUGCUAAUUUUUCUCCACCUGCAAGUGCAUUAAACAAUUCUACGAUCUGUGGUAAAGGAUAUUGAUCAGCAACCUAUUGGGUUAACUGCCACGGUGAAAGCUCCCCCAAAAUUGAAAUCUCCCUUUUGUAAACCAGAAUGAUAGUGCCUUGAUUUAAUUCUUUCAGAUCUGCUUCAAUUUUAGUUUUCAGUGCAAAAGGUACAAUUCUUGAUGUACAAAAUGUUUUAAUAGCAUUUGCCUUUACGUGAAGUCAAAUUUGCUUGCCUUUGACUAAACCUAGUGUUCCAACAAAUACAGUUUUAUACUUUUGGUUUAGUGUUUCAAUCCAAGUAGAAUAUGAAUUGUUAUUGUGGUCUAUUAGUUUAGUAAGAGGUAACCAUUUGUGGUAACUUUUGCAUGCCUAUAGCUUUGAUCCAGGAUCCACCAAACAAUGGUGGUCCUCCUUUAGGUAAAAUGUAGAGUAGUAGUGGUUCAGUUAUUUUUUUUUGUUCUAUUAAAUCACAUAUGAGUUUCACAUGACAUUGAUAUUAAAUUGUACACAAUGUAUUUCGCUUAUUCAUAUUAUAAACUCAUAUACACAUAUAACAUAAAUUCAAUUAUACACCAUUUUUACCUGGAUGGACGCGAGAUGUUACCCAUUGAUAAUAUAAACAGAAAAAAAACCAACAACUUUUAUAAAAAAUUUUUUAUUAAAAAGUACUUUCAAUAAUACUUUGCAAGUUUUUAAGAAUACUGCUUUCCUGUCUUGCUUUAACGCUUGUCCAAAACAGUCCAUGUUCCAUUCUGCACUGAAAGAGUAUCUGUUCACACAGUUGUGGUCACUAAAUGUCAUCUAUUUUAUCCCAUUUUCUAGCUAUUAAUAUUUUAGCGAAAUAUCAACUGGGUCUGAUUUUUAUUUAGCCUUGGCCAUUUUAGAUGCAAGAACGCAAUUUCAGGUUUCAGCUCAAUAAUAACAUUGCCAAUCAAAUAUAAUUUUUCAAAAACCAUAUCCCACAUCUUUUUGAUUAUAUUACACUUCCACCAAAUAUGAAGAUAAUCCCCCGGCUUUCCUACAUCUCCAACAUUUAGACCUAUAAGUAUUCAAAAACGUAGCCAGCCUGGCAGGAACAGAAUACAAAAAUUGUAUCAGUUUUAAUUGGUUUUCCAAAAUAUUAGUGCUAUGAAUAGAUUAAAGACCAGUGUAUGGGUGAAGCGCUAUAUACCAAAGUGGAGAAAUAAUGCCCCGUGAUGAACACCAGAACACUGAAAAAAUACCUUCUGUUUAUAUAGUUCACAAUAAUCCUUUAUAGGAAUUUCCUAAAAGCAUAAACAGAAAAAUACAACCAUAGUGCAAAUCUGUAAUAAUAAAAGGUGUGGUAGAAAUAUACAAAGGUCCCACUCACACUUUUAGGAGCUAAAAGGGUAUAGCUCAAUUGAAGCACUUUCAGAGUCCGUAGAGGUGACUCUUAUCCCUUCUUUUAACUCUUCCUUUCUUAUAUUCUGGAAUGUAUAAAGGGAAAUACCUCUGGUGCAAUAACGUAGGCUGGAUGUGUAUAUAAUAGAAAGGGAAAUAGGGUACUUACAAACCCAGAAUAGAUUCAUUAUAUAUUUUUAAUGCCUCAGAUCAUUCUUUGGAAUGGAAUUCCAUCUGCAAAAUUUUACCCCAUUUUCCCCUGAUAUCCUGAUGUUUAUUAUCAUAUUUUAGACUUAAAUAACUAUAGGCUUCAGACAUUAUUUUUGUAUAAUAAAUAAAUAAAUAUAUAUAUAUAUAUAUAUAAAAAUAUAUAUAUAUAUAUAUAUAUAUAUGUCUAAGUAUAUAUAAUUUUAUUUUAAACUUUAUUUUAACUUUUUUCAGGCAGCAGGCACUCUCCCUGCUGGCACUGCAGUGGAUGGCUAUGCCGUCCAUGUGAUCGUGAGAUCCUCACAAGGACCUCGCAAUCACAUGGCCCAGGAGGACCGGAAUGGCAGCAUGGGUACUCCCUGGAAUGCCAGGUGAGUCCCCCCACCGCGAUCGCUGGCGUGGGAUUGCUAGCAAGUGGGUAAGUACAUAGGACGGCGGGGACAUGCUAUGCCGCCCCUGGUGUUUAGAGCUGGGUCUCCAAGAACGGCAUAGCAUGCCCGCCGUCCUUAAGGGCUUAAUCUAUACUGUAAAGUAUCUUAAAUUAUGCACUAUAAUAUUAGUUUUAUAAUAGUUUCAUCAGUAAUUAUAUAUUGCACCAUCUCAUUGUGAUAUUCUCUGUAUUAUAUUGUGCCGUUACAUCCUAUCAUUCUUAAUUUAAACAGUAUUAUCAUAUAUAUUGUGUACUAUUACUACUAUUUCUAUUUUUUAAAAUAUAUAAGCAAUUAAUUAAUUUAUAUCUACAUUCUCUGGGGGUCUUCAGCUUUUCCCCCUGCUCUCAGCAUGCGAUUCGUAUACCAUUGUAUACGUUUAUCCAGUCAGCCUCCCCCUUUCAGUUCCACUGCAAUGGUUUUCACCUCCAUGGCAUCACUUCGUGUCUGCCUCACCGUCCACCAGGGAACACUCCUGUCUCCUUUCAGGCUUAGCUCAACUGCCUGCAAUGAUUUUUACCUCCACCACGUCACUUUGCAUCUGCCUUACCAUCAGGGAACACUCCUGUCAUCUGCCGCGUCUGACUUCCUAUCCGCGCCCUGGUUGUUGCACGUGCGUCUCACGUCAUCACGUCCUCAACAAGUAGUUCAGUUAUUCUAGUAAAUAUCCCGGUAGGUGAUACACACCCAAUAGGUUUUAUUAUCUCAUAUGAAUAUAUUUGCUUAGGAACAAUUGGGUGUUCUAGACCCAGUCAGCAUCUAGCGUCCUCCUCCCCCGGCCACAGGUAAGAGGCAGGGAGGGGACAUAAACUUACAUUAUUAUACAUUUUAAAAAAACCUGCUCCUCCCCACAGCCUUUAUCCAACACCACAAACACACACGGUAUCCAAUUCACGAACACUCACACUACAUCCACUGCAUAAAGACUGCAUGCACUACACAAAUACAGACACUGCAUCCACUAAACAAACACAUACACUACAUCCACUAUACAAAGACUGCAUCCACUACACAUUGCAUCAACUUUCCUCACAUACUCUUUCUGCAUCCACUACACACACACACACAAACUGCAUCCACUCUCCAGUCACACAUUGCAACCACUCUACACACACACACACAAACACACACACUGCAUCCACUAUAAACACACACUGCAUCGACUUUACAUAUACUUGUGGGAGGACUUGGAAGUGAACCCUGGGUGCCCAGGCCUUGAGCCGUGUAAGGGCCCCAACAUUUCUCAUGGCAGCCCUGCAUGUAUUUGUCAUGUGGCAUUUGAAUAAAAACAGAGAAUAUUUUUUAUUUAUUAAAGUUGCGGUCUUUGAGUUUCUGCUGUGUCCAUAGCAGUCACAUCGUGCUAGAGCAAUAAUUGCUAUUUCUAUUGUGUCAUGGAAUAUUUAUAAAAAUAAUAAUUUUGUGAAUAUGUUUCUAAGAUAUUGAAGAGCGCCAUUGCAAAGAGCCACAUGUGUACUGCAUUCAUGCAUGCAUUUUGCUUUUUUAUUUUAAGUAAUGAUGGAUUUGGGGUUUAAUAUUUCAAUAGUGGUAAAUAUAAGUCAGCUAACAGUCACAUAUGGCAAAGAGUGAUAAAUAUGAUAGCGGUAAGUAAUAAUAGAAAAUGUAGGUUAGUGUGUUCAGGAUACAUAAUUAAACAAGUAGUUUGACUAUAUCUCACUUUUGAUAUUUAAUAUUUCUAUUAUGUUCCAGUCAUUUUGAACCUGUCAACUAUGAUGAAAAUGAAUGUUUUGUCAAGUAUGAUAAGGAUGCUUGCACCGUGGAAGUACUACAAAGGAAGAAUCCUACAAAGCAGUGCGAGCGCUAUGCAAUGAUUGGCUAACGAUGAGGUCAGCAUGAUCCAGAUUCCGUCCUUAAGCCUUCUCUGAAUCUACUGAAACAAUGACGAUCAAUGCUGUAUUGAAUACCUUUGUUAAUUAAUAAAAUAGUCAUGUUGAGUGCUUGCUUGUAAUUUUA